AUGACUAUAGCCCUUGGUAGAAUUCCUAAAGAAGAAAAUGAUCUAUUUGAUACUAUGGAUGACUGGUUACGAAGGGACCGUUUCGUUCUUGUAGGAUGGUCUGGCCUAUUGCUCUUUCCUUGUGCUUAUUUCGCUUUAGGGGGUUGGUUUACAGGGACAACUUUGGUAACUUCUUGGUAUACCCAUGGAUUGGCUAGUUCCUAUUUGGAAGGUUGUAAUUUAUUAACAACAGCAGUUUCUACCACGGUCAAUAGUUUAGCAACUCUUUGUUGCUACUAUGGGGGCCCGAGGCACAAGGAGAUUUUACUCGUUGGUGUCAAUUAG
rnacentral:rRNA from 1 species